GCCCCGGCUCAGCCUGCCCAAAUGGAGCCUGAGCCUGGAGCCCCCAGCUCAGGUGAAAGGUUCUCUCUAAAUUGCCUGGGACUAUUUGUAGCUUGGGGCAUUUGGGUGAUAACUGGAAAGAGGGUCCCUUGGGCACACCCUGCACUGCCGGGACGGAAACCUUGCACCCGCCUGUUCCCCUGGGCGGUCUGGACAGAUGCACGGCCAGGAGGGGCCAGGUGGCUCUGCUGGGCAUCCUCACCACCGGCUCCCGGACGGGCCCAGCCCUCGCCCCUUCCUGCACCUCUCACCCACCGGCCAGGGGGCCCGGCGCGCCCCGGUCUUAGCCCACUGUGGCAGGGAAGGGAGAGGGCCCUCCGGGAAGCGUGUCGUCAGCCGUGAGGAGGGACCGAGGUGGUGUCUCUGGAAGUUUCUCUGGCCGCCCCCCUCUCUGAUGACGCGUCCCUGGCCACUGCUCCGGAGGCACCUCGGGGGAGUCCUGGAGGGACUGCUCUGGGCCAGAGAGCUCCGGGAAAGCUCGAUGAAAGGAAGCAGAGCUCCGAGGAAACGGGACCCUUGGUGACAGACAGCAGCGUUGCCUGGCUCCUUUAAGGGCAGAGUGGACGAGUCAGGAAGGAAUGCAAUAAAAAUGCCUGGGCUGA